rnacentral:lncRNA from 1 species
UGUAACUCAAUUUGUUUUCUGAGCUCAGAAGAGAAUGACACUGUGCUAGAUGGAUUUCAGUUGUCCUUCCAGAUCUGCUCUCCACUUCUCCACACUGGCCAGCACCCUUCAUGUGCUGCUCACAAAGCCGAGAGCCACAGAGGAGCACACGGGAUAUAUUCUGGAAAAGAAGAGGAGGAGGAAGAAGAAUGACUGUAAAGGAAGGAGCAGUACUGUUUUCAUGAGGACCUACUAUGUGCCAGACAUUAUUCUAGGUGCUGGGGCUACCAUGGUUUGCUGGGGAGCACAAGAAGCUGCGAUUUUUGUUCUGCUGAUUUCCAUUAACACCCCCUACCCACCCCACCUUCACCCCUGGCAAAUAGACGCCGCUAAAUGGAGGGAAACUUGCAGCUACUUGGGAGGCUAAGGUGGGAAGAUCGCUUGAGCCCAGGAGGUCGAGGCUGCGGUGAACCAAGAUUGUGACACUGCACUCCAGCCUGGGCAACAGAUGCUGUGUGAAGAUGAAGGCAGAGAUCAGGCUGAUGCUUAUGGAAAGCCAGAGAUUGCCAACAAACCACCAAAAGCUAGGAGAGAGGCCUGGAACAGAUUCUCUCUGAGUCCUCAGAAGGAACCAACCCUGCCAACACUGUGAUCUUGGACUUCUAAACCCCAGAACUGUGAAAUAAUAAAUGUCUGAUGUC